CGUCCUAUUAGCUAGUUGGUGAGGUAAUGGCUCACCAAGGCUACGAUGGGUAGGGGUUCUUAGUGGAAGGUCCCCCACACUGGCACUGAGAUACGGGCCAGACUCCUACGGGGGCAGCAGUAGGGAAUAUUGGUCAAUGGGCGCAAGCCUGAACCAGCCAUGCCGCGUGCAGGAUGAAGGCUCUCUGAGUUGUAAACUGCUUUUGUACAGGAGCAAAAAAAUCCCUGCGGGGGUUCUUGAGAGUACUGUAAGAAUAAGCACCGGCUAAUUCCGUGCCAGCAGCCGCGGUAAUACGGGAGGUGCAAGCGUUAUCCGGUUUUAUUGGGUUUAAAGGGUGCGUAGGCGGCUUAUUAAGUCAGUUGUGAAAUCCUAGUGCUUAACGCUAGAACUGCGAUUGAUACUAUU
rnacentral:rRNA from 1 species